GAUGAACGCUGGCGGCGUGCCUAAUACAUGCAAGUCGAGCGAACAGACGAGGAGCUUGCUCCUCUGACGUUAGCGGCGGACGGGUGAGUAACACGUGGAUAACCUACCUAUAAGACUGGGAUAACUUCGGGAAACCGGAUCUAAUACCGGAUAAUAUAUUGAACCGCAUGGUUCAAUAGUGAAAGACGCUUUUUCUGUCACUUAUAGAUGAAUCCGCGCCGCAUUAGCUAGUUGGUAAGGUAACGGCUUACCAAGGCGACGAUGCGUAGCCGACCUGAGAGGGUGAUCGGCCACACUGGAACUGAGACACGGUCCAGACUCCUACGGGAGGCAGCAGUAGGGAAUCUUCCGCAAUGGGCGAAAGCUUGACGGAGCAACGCCGCGUGAGUGAUGAAGGUCUUCGGAUCGUAAAACUCUGUUAUUAGGGAAGAACAAAUGUGUAAGUAACUAUGCACGUAUUGACGGUACCUAAUCAGAAAGCCACGGCUAACUACGUG
rnacentral:rRNA from 1 species